rnacentral:rRNA from 1 species
AUUGAACGCUGGCGGCAGGCCUAACACAUGCAAGUCGAGCGGUAACACAGAGAGCUUGCUCUCGGGUGACGAGCGGCGGACGGGUGAGUAAUGUCUGGGAAACUGCCUGAUGGAGGGGGAUAACUACUGGAAACGGUAGCUAAUACCGCAUAACGUCGCAAGACCAAAGAGGGGGACCUUCGGGCCUCUUGCCAUCAGAUGUGCCCAGAUGGGAUUAGCUAGUAGGUGGGGUAACGGCUCACCUAGGCGACGAUCCCUAGCUGGUCUGAGAGGAUGACCGGCCACACUGGAACUGAGACACGGUCCAGACUCCUACGGGAGGCAGCAGUGGGGAAUAUUGCACAAUGGGCGCAAGCCUGAUGCAGCCAUGCCGCGUGUAUGAAGAAGGCCUUCGGGUUGUAAAGUACUUUCAGCGGGGAGGAAGGCGAUAAGGUUAAUAACCUUGUCGAUUGACGUUACCCGCAGAAGAAGCACCGGCUAACUCCGUGCCAGCCGCCGCGGUAA